rnacentral:rRNA from 1 species
CCCUUAGAUGUUCUGGGCCGCACGCGUGCUACACUGAAUAGUUCAAUGGGUGAGGUAGUGCGAAAGCAUGACCCAAUCUCUAAAUCUAUUCGUGAUGGGGAUAGAAGCUUGCAAUUAUCCUUCUUGAACGAGGAAUACCUUGUAGGCAUAAGUCAUCAUCUUAUGCCGAAUACGUCCCUGCCCUUUGUACACACCGCCCGUCGCUCCUACCGAUUGAAUGGUCCGGUGAGGCUUUGGGAGAGCUAAAUAGACUGUGCUUCACAGAUUAUUUGGCUUGAACUUAGUCAAACCUUACUAUUUAGAGGAAGGUGAAGUCGUAACA